rnacentral:rRNA from 1 species
AUUGAACGCUGGCGGCAGGCCUAACACAUGCAAGUCGAACGAGUGGCGGACGGGUGAGUAAUGUCUGGGAAACUGCCCGAUGGAGGGGGAUAACUACUGGAAACGGUAGCUAAUACCGCAUACCAUCGGAUGUGCCCAGAUGGGAUUAGCUCGUAGGUGGGGUAACGGCUCACCUAGGCGAGGAUCCCUAGCUGGUCUGAGAGGAUGACCAGCCACACGGGAACAGAGACACGGUCCAGACGCCUACGGUAGGCAGCAGUGGGGAAUAUUGCACAAGGGGCGCAAGCCUGAUGCAGCCAUGCCGCGUGUAUGAAGAAGGCCGUCGGGUUGUAAAGUACUUUCAGCGAGGAGGCGUUACCAACAGAAUAAGCACCGGCUAACUCCGUGCCAGCCGCCGCGGUAAUAC